rnacentral:rRNA from 1 species
GAUGAACGCUAGCGGCAGGCCUAACACAUGCAAGUCGAGGGGUAGGGUUAGCUUGCUAACUUGAGACCGGCGCACGGGUGCGUAACGCGUAUGCAAUCUACCUUGUACAGAGGGAUAGCCCAGAGAAAUUUGGAUUAAUACCUCAUAGUAUCUUUACCUGGCAUCGGGUAAUUAUUAAAGUUCCAACGGUACAAGAUGAGCAUGCGUCCCAUUAGUUAGUUGGUAAGGUAACGGCUUACCAAGACAAUGAUGGGUAGGGGUCCUGAGAGGGAGAUCCCCCCACACUGGUACUGAGACACGGACCAGACUCCUACGGGAGGCAGCAGUGAGGAAUAUUGGUCAAUGGACGCAAGUCUGAACCAGCCAUGCCGCGUGCAGGAAGACGGUCCUAUGGAUUGUAAACUGCUUUUAUACAGGAAGAAACAACUCUACGUGUAGAGUCUUGACGGUACUGUAGGAAUAAGGAUCGGCUAACUCCGUGCCAGCAGCCGCGGUAAAGUA